GAAUGGCGUAGUGGUUAGUGACCCUGACUACUGAGCCUUAGGUCCCGGGUUCGAUUCCCGGCUGGAGCA
rnacentral:tRNA from 1 species